GACGAACGCUGGCGGCGUGCUUAACACAUGCAAGUCGAACGAAGUGGCGAACGGGUGAGUAACGCGUAAUCAACCGGCCCUUCAGAGGGGGACAACAGUUGGAAACGACUGCUAAUACCGCAUACUGAAGGAGGGGAUUGCGGCUGAUUAGCUAGUUGGAGGGGUAACGGCCCACCAAGGCGAUGAUCAGUAGCCGGUCGGCGAGGGUGGACGGCCACAUGGGGACUGGGGCACGGCCCAGACUCCCACGGGAGGCAGCCGGGGGGAAGCUUCCGCAAUGGACGAAAGUCUGACGGAGCAACGCCGCGGGAGUGAUGACGGCCUUCGGGUUGUAAAGCUCUGUUAAUCGGGACGCGGUACCGGAAUAGAAAGCCACGGCUAACUACGUGCCAGCAGCCGCGGUAAUAC
rnacentral:rRNA from 1 species